UAGGGAAUAUUGGGCAAUGGUCGGAAGACUGACCCAGCCAUGCCGCGUGCAGGAAGACGGCCCUCUGGGUUGUAAACUGCUUUUAUCAGGGAAGAAAAAGGCCAUGCGUGGCAAAUUGCCGGUACCUGAUGAAUAAGCACCGGCUAACUCCGUGCCAGCAGCCGCGGUAAUACGGAGGGUGCGAGCGUUGUCCGGAUUUAUUGGGUUUAAAGGGUGCGUAGGCGGCUGCUUAAGUCAGUGGUAAAAGGCACGGGCUCAACCCGAUGUAAGCCAUUGAUACUGGGCAGCUUGAGUUCUCUGAGAGUACAUGGAAUUGAUGGUGUAGCGGUGAAAUGCAUAGAUACCAUCAGGAACACCGAUAGCGAAGGCAUUGUACUUUGGAGCGACUGACGCUGAUGCA
rnacentral:rRNA from 1 species